UGCAACGAGGUUAUUGCAGAUUUUAAAAGU
rnacentral:piRNA from 1 species